CUGCUCCCUUCGGAGCACAUAUAUCAAAAUUAGAGCAAUAUAGAUGGGAUUAGCAUGACUCCUACCCAAAAAUGGUAUGAAAAUUACUAAAGCAUUCCACAUUUUU